UCGCCUGUUUAUCAAAAACAUGUCCUCAUGAUCAAUAAUUUGAGGUCUGACCUGCCCACUGAAUUAUUUUAGUUUGAAGGGCCGCGGUAUUUUGACCGUGCAAAGGUAGCAUAAUCAUUAGUCUUUUAAUUGAGGGCUGGAAUGAAUGGUUGGACGAGGCAUUGACUGUCUCAGUGUAAAUGAUAUUAGAAUUUAACUUUUAGGUCAAAAGGCUUAAAUAAGUUUAAAGGACGAGAAGACCCUAUAGAGCUUUAUAUUCAAUAAUUAUUGUUUAUUUGGGUGUUUUUAAAUAAUAUUUAAUAGAAUAUUUUGUUGGGGUGACAAGAAGAUAAAAUAAACUCUUUUUAAUUUUAAACAUUAAUUUAUGAAUGAUUGAUCCAUUAUUAGUGAUUAUAAGACUAAGUUACCUUAGGGAUAACAGCGUAAUCUUUUUUGAGAGUUCUUAUCGACAAAAAGGGUUGCGACCUCGAUGUUGGAUUAAGGGUAAUUUUGGGUGCAGAUGUUCAAAGUUUAGGUCUGUUCGACCUUUAGAUCCUUACAUGAUCUGAGUUCAAACCGGAGA
rnacentral:rRNA from 1 species